rnacentral:rRNA from 1 species
UUUCCUACGGGGGGCAGCAGUGGGGAAUAUUGCACAAUGGGGGAAACCCUGAUGCAGCGACGCCGCGUGAGUGAAGAAGUAUUUCGGUAUGUAAAGCUCUAUCAGCAGGGAAGAAAAUGACGGUACCUGACUAAGAAGCCCCGGCUAACUACGUGCCAGCAGCCGCGGUAAUACGUAGGGGGCAAGCGUUAUCCGGAUUUACUGGGUGUAAAGGGAGCGUAGGCGGCGAUGCAGGUCAGAAGUGAAAGCCCGGGGCUCAACUCCGGGACUGCUUUUGAAACUGUGUUGCUAGAUUGCAGGAGAGG